GACGAACGCUGGCGGCGUGCUUAACACAUGCAAGUCGAACGAAGAGCGAUGGAAGCUUGCUUCUAUCAAUCUUAGUGGCGAACGGGUGAGUAACGCGUAACCAACCUGCCCUUCUGAGGGGGACAAAAGUAGGAAACGACUGCUAAUACCGCAUACGAUCUAACCUCGGCAUGGAGGGAAGAUGAAAGGUGGCCUCGAUUGAUAAGCUAGCAGUGAAGGAGGGGAGUGCGGGUGAUUAGCUAGUUGGAGGGGUAUAGGCCCACCAAGGCGAGGAUGAGUAGCAGGUCUGAGAGGGUGAGCGGCCCCACUGGGACUGAGACACGGCCCAGAGUCCCACGGGAGGGAGCAGUGGGGAGACUUCCGGAAUGGGCGAGAGAUUGUCAGCGAGACGCAGCGUGAGGGUGAAGGAGCGUCGCGUGGUGGAGAUCUGUUUUUCGGGGAGAAAAACCUUCCUGCUAAAAGGGAGAAUGAUUGACGGUAACGGAAAAAAAAGCCACGGCUAACUACGUG
rnacentral:rRNA from 1 species